rnacentral:rRNA from 1 species
CUUGGCUCAGAACGAACGUUGGCGGCGUGGUUGAGGCAUGCAAGUCGCACGAGAACGGAGCAAUCCUAGUAAAGUGGCGGAAGGGUGAGUAAUGGGUAGAUAACGUACCAUGGAGAUGGGCAUAACGGCUCGAAAGAGCCGCUAAUUCCCGAUAAGACCACGGCUGGGCAUCCAGUUGAGGUCAAUUGAGGGGGACCUUCGGGCCUCUCGCUCUGUGAUCGGUCUACUCCCUACCAGCUAGUAGGCGGGGUAAUGGCCCACCUAGGCUGCGACGGGUACCCGGACUAAGAGGUUGAACGGGCACAUCGGCACUGAGACACUGGCCGGACACCUACGGGUGGCUGCAGUUCGGAAUAUUCGGCAAUGGACGAAAGUCUGACCGAGCGACGCCGCGUGCGGGAUGAAGGCCCUCUGGGUUGUAAACCGCCUUAGGGAGUGAGCAAACUAUCUGAUGUGAACAUCAUCGGAUAUUGAGUUAAGCUCCUAAAUAAGCCCCCGCUAAUCACGUGCCAGCAGCGGCCGUAAUACGUGAGGGGCAAACGUUGUUCGGUGUCACUGGGCUUAAAGGGUGCGUAGGUGGUUACGUAAGUAACGUGUGAAAUCCCCCGGCUUACCCGGGGAAUUGCGCGUUAUACUGCGUGACUUGAGGACUGUAGGGGAAUGGGGAACUCCAGGUGUAGCGGUGAAAUGCGCAGAUAUCUGGGGGAAGGCCGGCGGCGAAGGCGCCAUCCUGGGCAGUUCCUGACACUGAGGCACGAAAGCGUGGGGAGCAAACAGGAUUAGAUACCCUGGUAGUCCACGCCCUAAACGAUGGAUAUUAGCUAGGGGGCCCUGCAAGGGGUUCCUUGGUGUAGCGAAAGCGUUAAAUAUCCCGCCUGGGGAGUAUGGUCGCAAGGCUGAAACUCAAAAGAAUUGACGGGGGCUCACACAAGCGGUGGAGCAUGUUGCUUAAUUCGAUCAACGCGAAGAACCUUACCCGGGCUCGAAGUGUACGGAUUAGUUCUAUGAAAGUAGAAUGACACCUUAACCGGUGGAACGUACAAAGGUGUUGCAUGGCUGUCGUCAGCUCGUGUCGUGAGAUGUCGGGUUAAGUCCCUUAACGAGCGAAACCCCUGUCCUUAGUUGCCAUCAGGUAAAGCUGGGAACUCUAGGGAGACUGCCGGUGUUAAACCGGAGGAAGGUGGGGAUGACGUCAAGUCAUCAUGGCCCUUACGUCCGGGGCGGCAAACGUGCUACAAUGGCAAUUACAGCGCGACGCAAUACCGCGAGGUGGAGCAAAUCGCUUAAAAAUUGCCUCAGUUCGGAUUGGGAGGCUGCAAUUCGCCCCCAUGAAGCCGGAAUCGCUAGUAAUCGGGGAUCAGCCACGCCCCGGUGAAUAUGUUCCUGAGCCUUGUACACACCGCCCGUCAAGCCACGAGAGCUGGGGGUACCCGAAGUCGUGAUAAGCGCCCACGGUAAAACCAGUGAUUGGGACUAAGUCGUAACAAGGCA